CCUACGGGGGGCAGCAGUGAGGAAUAUUGGUCAAUGGGCGCGAGCCUGAACCAGCCAAGUCGCGUGAGGGAAGACGGUCCUAUGGAUUGUCAACCUCUUUUGUCGGGGAGCAAAAGACGCCACGCGUGGCGUUCCGAGAGUACCCGAAGAAAAAGCAUCGGCUAACUCCGUGCCAGCAGCCGCGGUAAUACGGAGGAUGCGAGGGUUAUCCUGCUUUAAUGGGUUUCAAGGGUGCGCAGGCGGAAGAUCAAGUCAGCGGUAAAAUUGAGAGGCUCAACCUCUUCGAGCCGUUGAAACUGGUUUUCUUGAGUGAGCGAGAAGUAUGCGGAAUGCGUGGUGUAGCGGUGAAAUGCAUAGAUAUCACGCAGAACUCCGAUUGCGAAGGCAGCAUACCGGCGCUCAACUGACGCUCAUGCACGAAAGUGUGGGUAUCGAACAGGAUUAGAUACCCGGGUAGUC
rnacentral:rRNA from 1 species